rnacentral:rRNA from 1 species
CAUGCAAGUCGAACGAAGCCCGGCCUUCGGGUCGGUGACUGAGUGGCAAACGGCUGAGUAACGCGUAGGUGAUCUGUCCCGAGGAGGGGAACAACCCGCGGAAACGCGAGCUAAUACCCCAUACGCCCACUGGUUCAGCCCGGUGGGGAAAUGUUCCGGCGCCUUGGGAGGAGCCUGCGUCCGAUUAGCUAGUUGGUGGGGUAACGGCCUACCAAGGCAGCGAUCGGUAGCUGGUCUGAGAGGAUGAUCAGCCAGACUGGGGCUGAGACACGGCCCAGACUCCUACGGGAGGCAGCAGCGAGGAAUCUUGCACAAUGGGCGAAAGCCUGAUGCAGCAACGCCGCGUGGGUGAUGAAGGCCUUAGGGUUGUAAAUCCCUUUUGCCGGGGAAGAAUUUUGACGGUACCCGGCGAAUAAGCCACGGCUAACUGCGUGCCAGCAGCCGCGGUAAGACGUAGGUGGCGAGCGUUAUCCGGAUUUACUGGGCGUAAAGCGUACGUAGGCGGCUCCAUAAGUCUGUCGUGAAAUCUCCCGGCUCAACCGGGAGCGGCCGAUGGAAACUGUGGCGCUCGAGGGGCGCAGAGGCAAGCGGAAUUCCCGGAGUAGUGGUGGAAUGCGUAGAUACCGGGAGGAACACCAGUGGCGCAAGCGGCUUGCCAGACGCAUCCUGACG